UACGAAGGGGGCUAGCGUUGCUCGGAAUCACUGGGCGUAAAGCGCGCGUAGGCGGCCCGGUAAGUCCGCUGUGAAAGUCAAAGGCUCAACCUUUGAAUGUCAGCGGAUACUGCCAGGCUAGAGUCCGGAAGAGGCGAGUGGAAUCCUGGUGUAGCGGUGAAAUGCGCAGAUAUCAGGAAGAACACCUAUGGCGAAGGCAGCUCUCUGGGACGGUACUGACGCUGAGACGCGAAAGCGUGGGGAGCGAACAGG
rnacentral:rRNA from 1 species